UCGGGGCACUUACUCCUGGGGGCGGAGGAGGCCCCGCGCCCUCCACUCCAAGGGCCUCGCAGGAGGAAGGUCUUCGUCCCACUGUUUAGGACUUGGCCUUACACAAGAGAAGCCUUGCUCGGGAGCCUUCCGAGGAUUUUAAAUCCUCCUGGGGCAGGGUUAGGCCUGGGGCUGGCUUCGAGGUCUCGGGUUUUGAGACGCCAGGGAGGAAUUCUCAGACUGAGGCCGCACGCUUUCCGAGCGCGCUUCCCGGCGUGUGCGCGUCGGUGAGGGGCUAUCUGCAGGCGCGAGUGCACAAAAGGUAGCGCGAGUCUCUUCCCAGGCGACUCGAGAUAAGAGGAAACGAGAGCGGGGUUUUCUGACUUCCAACUCAUUAGGGACCAGACCAGGCCUACAGGAGAGGAAAAAGCAGAAAACCCACCUGCCUCACUGCUUCUGUGCCAAGUCCAGGAAUGGUGUUUGCCCUGCUACACUUGUGAGCCAGCAACAAAGGAGGAGGCCAUCAGAAGUCAAGACUUUAAUAGUUACCUAGAGAGUCCACUGUUCACCUGUUUACCCUGGAUUUAGAACGAUUUCUUAUGUUUGCUGAUGUCUGAGAGGCGAUGGCUUAUUCCAUUUAUACCCAGACUGUCUUUCUGGAAGACUCAAUGCGGAGAUAAGAGAUAAGCAGCCAUGCUGGGGAAACCCACUUGGUGAGGAACUGUGGAUGGCCUCCAGAUAACAGCCAGGAAGAAACUGGGAUCCCUGAUCUGAGAGCUGCCAGGAAAUGAAUUCUGCCAAGAAUGUGAGUGAGUUUGGAAGGAGUUUCUUCCCCAGUUGAACCUCCAGAUGGGAACACAGUCCAAAUGACACCUUGACUGCAGUCUCGUGAGACUAUGUUAAUUAUUCAUACUGCAUGAUUGAGGAUUUUGGAGUCAGAGAUUCACCUGCAAUAUUUGGAACACUGGUGGAGGUCUACAUCAACACAGAAUUUAUAAAGCAGCUGGUGCUAGUCAAAGCUAAUGAUGGAAUUUCAGUUUAAUAAAAAGACCCCCAACUGAGCACACCAUCUUGAAAAAAGUAUACUUAUCGAAUGGCUUUCAAUCAGUUCAAGAGAGACACCUUAAUUGGGAAGAGGAAGAUUUGCAGAGCAGUUUGUCAUUGUGCCAAUUCUAGAUCAAUAACUGCAUGUCUGCUCUUCAGGAGACAGAGCUUUUGCUUUAUAUUAAGUAACCGCAUUGACUUCCUCUCCAUUUGGGUACACUCGGUUUCAUUUGAUAAUGUUAAAUGAUAUCUUCUUUUAAUUCACCUCUAUAUCUUCAUAAUAAACAUGAGCAAAAUGUAGACUUGUGAUUGUAAGGGUCAACAUUUUACAUUUUUAAAAUAAAUUUUAUAUUUUUGCCACAAGGAGGCAAUGCUUAUAGAAUUUUCAUAUUUUCAAAAAUUGUUUUGUUGGAAAAAAUCACAUGGGUAGAAUUAAAUUAUGGUGGUUUAAGUAAAAGAAGAAUAUGAUGAGUAAUGAUGAUUUGGAUUCAUAUAAAAUUAUUUUGGAGAAUAUUGUACAGAAUCAUCUACUAAUA